rfam:Gossypium hirsutum cultivar TM-1 chromosome 10, whole genome shotgun sequence
AACCCAUGGUGAGGGCACCAUCUUAAUAAGUCAUUGUACCUCUCCUAUGUAUCAUAAAGAGUUUCUAGAUCCAUCUGCACAAAAGAAGAGAUAUCAUUCCUUAAUUU